CCUACGGGAGGCAGCAGUAGGGAAUAUUGCUCAAUGGGGGAAACUCUGAAGCAGCAACGCCGCGUGGAGGAUGAAGGUUUUCGGAUUGUAAACUUCUUUUGUUAGAGAAGAAAAUGACGGUAUCUAACGAAUAAACACUGGCUAACUCAGUUCCAGCAGCGGCGGUAAUACGGAGGGUGCAGGCGUUACUCGGAAUCACUGGGCGUAAAGAGGGCGUAGGCGGGUUAGCAAGUACGUUGUGAAAUCCUAUGGCUUAACCAUAGAACUGCAUUUGAAACUGUUAGUCUAGAGUAUGGGAGAGGUAGGUGGAAUUCGUGGUGUAGCGGUGAAAUGCGUAGAGAUCAAGAAGAAUACUGAUUGCGAAGGCGACCUGCUAGAACGUAACUGACGCUGAUGCGCGAAAGCGUGGGGAGCAAACAGGAUUAGAUACCCCGGUAGUC
rnacentral:rRNA from 1 species